GCCGAGGUAGCGCAGUGGUUUGUGCAUCUGUCUAGUGAGCAGAAGACCCAGGUUCGAGUCCUGGUCUCGGUA